AUUGAACGCUGGCGGCAGGCCUAACACAUGCAAGUCGAGCGGAUGAGUGGAGCUUGCUCCAUGAUUCAGCGGCGGACGGGUGAGUAAUGCCUAGGAAUCUGCCUGGUAGUGGGGGACAACGUUUCGAAAGGAACGCUAAUACCGCAUACGUCCUACGGGAGAAAGCGGGGGGAUCUUCGGACCUCGCGCCAUUAGAUGAGCCUAGGUCGGAUUAGCUAGUUGGUGAGGUAAUGGCUCACCAAGGCGACGAUCCGUAACUGGGUCUGAGAGGAUGAUCAGUCACACUGGAACUGAGACACGGUCCAGACC
rnacentral:rRNA from 1 species